rnacentral:rRNA from 1 species
CGGCGUGCCUAAUACAUGCAAGUCGAAUGGUAGUAGCAAUACAAACCGAUGGCGAACGGGCGAGUAACACGUAGGCAACCCAACUUUAAGACGAGGAUAACCGUUGGAAACGACGGAUAAUACUGGAUAGGACAUCACAAAGGGCAUCCUUAGAUGUUAAAGGUUACCAUGCCACUUAGAGAGGGGCCUGCGGCGCAUUAGCUAGUUGGUGAGAUAACAGCCCACCAAGGCGAUGAUGCGUAGCCGGACUGAGAGGUUGAACGGCCACAAUGGAACUGAGAACGGUCCAUACUCCUACGGGAGGCAGCAGUAGGGAAUUUCGGCAAUGGGCGGAAGCCUGACCGAGCAACGCCGCGUGAACGAAGAAGUUAUUCGUAAUGUAAAGUUCUUUUAUCUGGGAAGAAAAACAAAUUGACGGUACCAGAUGAAUAAGCUCCGGCUAACUACGUGCCAGCCGCUGC